GGUCCUGACUAGCUCAACUGGUAGAGCAUGGCACUGAAGUUGCCAGGUUGAGGGGUUCGGUUCCCACUGGGACCUCCCA